rnacentral:tRNA from 1 species
GCCCGCGUAGCUCAGUCGGUAGAGCACGGCACUCGUAAUGCCGGGGUCGGGGGUUCGAAUCCCCCUGCGGGCU